rnacentral:lncRNA from 1 species
GAAGCGUCAUAAAGAUUUUAGAAGGGUGGCUACACACUCCAGUGUUAAGAGAUCUUGAUGUUAUUGUUAAGAGUUGGGCUGACAAACAGAUCCGUUGGUUGGUUUGAAAAUGUAAUUAGUAGCAUUGUAUUGGGCUGGACUCAUUCUUAUUGUUAAACUCCCCUUCCACAACUUAGGGCACAAUGCUUAUCAGCCCGAUCAACAGUGAUACCCCUCGUUUUGAGAAAAUCAUUUUAUGUUAAAUCAAAGGUACCUUGUCUACAGUACAGCGACUCAAUCACAUUUUGACGUAUAUAUGUAGCUGUAUAUAUAUUUAGGUUAUAAUGAAGAAUCUCAUACUUUAUUUAAAAUAUAAGAUCAUAAUUAGAGUUAUUAGAUUCAUCAAAUUCAAUGAUCUAUCGUCUUUUUAUUUUAAAAUUUAUAUAUGAUAGACCCUAUUAUAUGUAGAUUUUAAAAUGAAAAAACAAUAGACUAUUGGAUCUAAAUCCAAUAGUUUAAAUUGGGAUCAGGUAAGUACUAUCACACGCAUUAUUAUGUGUGACAAGUUACGUGUCACGACUUCAUUGGCUAGCAUCUCACAGCUCAACCAAUGAAAUCAUGACACAUAAAAAAUUGUGAAUUGUAUGCAACAAUGCCCACGGUUUAGAGAUCUACUGAAACUAAUUCAGAAAUCUAUUCUUGACAAAAUAUUUAUGGAGAUAUCCACCAGGCUACCACUACGAGACUACCUACAGUUACUGGAGAGAGAAUAUUUUGAGUCACUAUAAUACCGGAACUUGUGACCUCAUGUCAUACUAUCGUUAGCCAUCUAUAUCCCCUUCCUACCAGUUAUAAUUUCUUUGCCAGCAUAAUAAAUAAAGAACAGGGAGAUCAGUAACAUUGGUCAGGGACUCUGCGAUUCAGGCGUUCUUUCGCACAAGGAGAGCCAAGGCAUCCUCAUUGACUCUCUAAUAAGGAAUUUUUAUUAGGCUUAGGAAGAUAAUCUCCAUUAAGUAGGGGUGAAAAGACAUGCAACGUGUACUUUUUGUAUAGAAACCUCGUUGCAGAUAUUUUCAUGCGAACACUUCACUUAUUGCAAUCAUUAUUCAUAAAUAAUGCUUCUAAUUAAUUAAGUCACUAAAAUGUCUGCAUCCAAUUGGACGUUUGACAUGGCAUUGCCUCUAAAUCGUAUCAUUUGCUUACUUAUAUACAUUGCUUCGCGUUAAGUCUUGUUUCUCUGUAUCUAAUUAAUGCUUUUGAAAUAUUUGAAAUAAUCAUUAACUCAUAGCUAAGAAGUUGCCAUCUUUUUGGUCACCAUCAAAUAUGUUCCAUUGUCUUGUACAUCGUCAAAACUUAGGUGUAUUUUUUAACUUCAUAAUAAAUUGUAAUACUGAUAAUGAUAUGCAAAUCUAGUACUCUCUUUAUUAAACGAUGUCUUGACAUUGGUCCACAUGGAUAAUGCCAUCCAAUAAUUCUAACUUUUGUGGCUAGGCUAGCUAUUGUUAUUUGAUGGUUGAGAUUUUUGAGAAUAUACUAUAUGAAUUACAAAGUGUUUAUAAAUCUAAAUUCUAACCAUAUUACGUAGAGAAUAUGCAAGCUGUUUAUAAUUUUGGAUGCUUUCACCAAUCACCACUGGAACAUUAUUAUUGAGAGGUAAACUAAUAAAUCCAAUCACAUAUGCCCUUCAACUAUCAAUAAUUUACUAUUUAUACAUUUAUAAUUUAUUGCGUUAAUUUGAUUUGUUGGGUUAGCUAAUUGGACACUAGUGAACAAGAAUCAAAAGGGUUUCCUUCAAAUUUUAAUUCUUCUCCGUCGUGUUUGUACUUGGAGGCAAUGGCAAGUAGUCGAAUGCUCCCUUACUGCAUGUACAUGUUGCUGACCCUAUUGGGUUUGCACAGCCUAAUAAAUUUCCGAUCUCCUAUUUACUAGUAUUAGAAUAGCUUUUGAUAUAUGCAAUAUAACAAAUAAUGCAAUAAAUUAGUUUGAAAAGUUGUGAAAAUAAAAUUGUGAAAAAUCAUUCACCACACUUAAUGAGUAUGACACUUUAUUUUGAACAUUUUUAAGAGAAAUGUCGUUUAAAAUUUAUUUUAUCUCUCUAUCAUUAAUUUUUUUUUCCUUUUUUCGUUAUCAAUAUCAUUGACUUCCUUUUUUUAGCUAAAAAAUAAGAUUCUUCAGAGUAAAUUCAACAAGUACGUACGACAAGCUCCCAAAUAAUAGUAAAACAAGACACGAUCAUGGAUUUGUCUCUUUAAUGGAGCCAGAAGUUGUGGGUGACCUAAUUGAUUAAUUUUCAUAUUAAGCAACGACAAAAAUUUGAUAUGAAAUUCCAGGACCUUCAACUUAGUGCCUGAAAUGGACCAUCCACAAUAGGUAAAAGACACCCCACAGCUUAUUUAUAAUUAAAAGACAAGGAGCCCCUUCAUGCCAAAGUAAGCUCGUAUUAUCCAUAAUGCCAUAUAUAUUAUUUAAUUAAUUUGCUUAAUGAAAUAUUUUUGCUAAAGGAAAUGAUUAUGAACGUUGUUGCUUGAACAUUAAAAAAAAUGAACGCAUAAUGAAUUAAAGCAAACGUUCACUAUUAAAAAGAUGAGCAAGCCACCAACAAAAUCACUUCCCUGGAAGUGGGGAUUGGAUUUGCUUCAAAGGCCUUUUUUAAGGUCGCCGUUCCGCUUAAACAUUUAUUUAUUUUUUAAAAUUUUUUUUUAAAGCAGGUAUUAAUUUUUUUAUAAAACAUAAAGAAAAUUAAAUAAGAAAAAGAGACUCACUUUCCUUUAAAUAAAAUGAAAGCAUCUUUAUGCUUUUCACCAAUGAAAUAAAUCUUUCAACAAUAUAAUAGUAUGAAAUACAAGAUUUUUUAUAUGAUAUAUUAUAUGUCUUUUGAAAUAAUAAAUCCACACCAUGUGUCUUGUUUUACUAUUUGGUUCCAGCUCAAAUCUAAAUCAAAAAAAUAAAUUUAUAUUUGAGGGAAGCUCGUGCGAAGUUUGGGUAUAAGUGUAUUUUUCUAAUAUUUGGGGCAUGUGGUUUAACUAAGGUAUCUUAAGUGGUGACCUAAAGUAAUUUGCAUAGUGAAUUGAGCUGGUCAUACGAGGAAAAAUAGGGAGCACUUAGUGACACUCCAGAAGGAUUUUAUAUGGGACCCUAAUAUGUGUUUAGGUGUAGUUAGGGUGUAUUCAAGGGAUACCUCAGGUAAUCUCACAUAAUACUUAGUGUAGAUAGUAUAUCUCAAAUAAGCUCAUAUGUCAAACACAAUUUGGAUCUCAAAUUGAAAAUAUAGCAAAAUAAAUAUAAAUAUAAAAAAAUAUAUUAUUUAUCUGAUUCGACCUUUGGCCUCCAUCCACGGGAGCUAAUUAUCACUAAUCCACUACAUAAUUAGGAGGUUAUAUAAGAUUUUACAUUAUCCAAGAUGAAUAACGUAAGCUAUAUAGCUAUGUGGACAUGUUUGGUCUUGAUACGUAUGAAGAUGAUGAAUAAAGAUUUGAAGAGUGAUAAUAUGGUGGAGAAGAUGAUGAAGGUAGAGAACAAGAUUCGCCUCCCAAAAAUGAAGAAGUGAGUAAUGAUCUAAAAGAUCAAAAGAGUGUGUCUUUGAGAGAGGAGAGGAGGGGAGGCAAGGAGAUGAUAGCAUGAGAGGUAGGGAGAUGAGAGCAUAAGAGAGCAUGUCCUAAUAUGUGUGAGUAAGACAUUAAUAUAGUGGAGGUUAGUGAAAAGGAGAGGAUGUUUUUAGGGCUAAUUGUCAUACUUAGGGAAAAAGGACAAUAAUAUUCAUUUUGUACUAAAUUUAUUCUUUCUCAUAAAUAUCUUAAAGUAUCCAAUCUUGAACAUUGAUUUUCAAGUUCAUCCAAUGUAGUAAAUUCUUCCAAAUGACAUCUUUAUUGCGUCCAUUUCAUCUGUCAUUCAUUUAUUGGUGCAAAAUAUAAUUCUAAAUUUACCCCCAAACAAUGGAUAAAGUCUAAAUCAAUUUUUUAACCACAUAUUUCGUAAAAGUUAUUCGAUCAAACUUUGAUGGCAUUGUUAUAGUCAUUCAAUUGAGAGUUUUAAGCAGAAUCAUAAAUCAAUUUUAAAAUUAUCACCCCCACACAUAAUCAGUUAAAAGAUUUUCUUGUGUUUUUAUAAGGGAUGCUGGGUGGGGUUAUUUGAAUUUACUAUAGUACUCCAUAAACCCACUUUUCCGUUAAAAAAAAAUCAAUUAAUAAAACGGCCAUGAGUUAAAUUACUAUCAUAGACAAUGUAAUUAAGCCACCUUCUCCACCACCUACAAACCCAGCUAAUUUUAAUUUAUCUAGUUUUCUUUUGAUAAUUUUGCCUUAUGCUCCUUCGUAUACGCUUCUAUAGCUAUUUUUUUCUUUUAAAUGCUUGAAACUGAUUGUCAAAAGAAAUCUUGACAUAGACUAGACAACAAACUACAAAUAAAAGUAAUAUUAUUGAAGCAUAAGGGAAUAUAUAUAUAUAUUAAAAAAAAAAGAAGGAAAUCAUCAUGCAAGAUGGGAAAGCCAUUGGUGUUUCAAUUUGUUGUUACAUAUGAUUCGGUUAUACUUUUUACUGCCAUUAACAUAUUUUUCGUAGGUGAUUCUGAAUUUCUAGCGACAAAAAAAUUGAAAUUAAUUUAAUAAGGGUACAUGGGGCAUUAACACAGGUUUGUAAAGUAAAACUUUGAUUUUUAGAUUGUAAUAGAGGUUGAUUGAGAAAAUGGGUUUAAAUAGUGGGUUGAAACAUACCAACUCUUUUCUGUAAGUCAAUUAUUAUUAUUUUUUAGCUCAAAUGUUUAAUUACUAAGUUAGGUGUUAGGUUUCUUUUAUUCCUGGUGAAAUGAAGAAAUGGUUGACUGUAGAGCACAAUUCAAGUUGAACUUGAGCACCUCAGUUGAUUCUACAAGUAUACUUCUUGAACGAAUUAAUUUCUCAUUAAAAUUCUCUCAAUAUAUAAAAAUUCCAUACAUAAUUUUUCCCGCAAUGAAAUGAAAUAUCCAAACACGUGUUUAAAAAGUUGAACAGUAAUAACAUUAGAGGUAUAAAAUUUUGUUCCAACUCCAUUUAAAUAAACCGACGUGUCAUGUCGUGUAAUUACCACAUAUUCCAUUACCAAAGGUUUGUAUCUAACGACCUGUAGUUUACUCGUUAAAUUAAUGGGAAAUACGCGCGUGCUAGCUACCAGAACUUGUGCGGGGGCAACUAACUGUUAUUACCUAAUAUAAACUAGCUCAAUUUUAAAAGUCACUCAACACAUAUAUAUAUAUAUAUCUGUAUGGGCUAAUGCUAAGUUACAUGCAUGUACCUUACACUCCUCUCAUAUGAAUAGUGAAUGAUGUGGGUCCACUCACUAUUUAUGUGAGAGAGUUAUAAAAUACAUGCAUGUAACUUAGAGGGAUCCACCUGUAUGUAUAUAACAAGUUCAACAAUUACGUCUUCUCUUUCCUUACUUACUAUGAUAUUAAUUUUUUUUCAUGACGCGUUAGAGCACGCGCGCGCGACGUAAGCGAUGUAUAUUAUUAUUAUAUAGUAGGUGCUGCCAGGUUUCCCGGGCGGGCCCCAGUUUGACUGAGUUACUGACAUGGCACGCUCAGGGCCGCCCAACUCAACCAAGUUUGAGUGACGCCGCGGGGCCCACAAAUGCCGAACUAUAAUGAUGAAGAGGGAGAGAGACACAACGAGUGGUGCGUCAGGCCACCUGAUUUCAACCAACGGAGAGAAAACCACCCACAGGCCCAGACCAAAAGCCAGAAAGAGAGAGAGGGAGACUUUUAUUAGGCUUCUAGUCUUCUACUCAGUUGCUGACUUCAUUCAGAGUGUGAUUACCAAAGUGCCCCUGGGAAGCAAUUCGGCCUCGUGAGUUUUAUGUUUUUUUGACCAUUCGCGUGAUGCAUUGCAUGCAACUAUGCAAAUUGCAAGCUGGAUUGGCUCUGUGCGGAUUCAUGGGAUUUGCCAGCCGCCAACCAAGCCGCGGAGACGUGAAGGUUCUGGGAAAACUUUGCAGCUUUAGAUUUUUUUCUCAUUAAUUUGGGGCAUAAUAAUAAGGCGGUGGCAAUAAUAAUAAUAUUAGUUGCUGAAUUUUCUUAAAUAAUAUGUUACGCAAUUU